UAACGAAUCUUCCGCAAUGCGCGAAAGCGUGACGGAGCAAUGCCGCGUGCGGGAUGAAGCCCUUCGGGGUGUAAACCGCUGUCAGGGUUUAGGAACACAAUGACCAUACCCAAAGGAAGGACCGGCUAACUUCGUGCCAGCAGCCGCGGUAAUACGAAGGGUCCAAGCGUUAAUCGGAAUCACUGGGCUUAAAGCGUACGCAGGCGGAUGUGCAGGUAUCUUGUGAAAUCCCUCGGCUCAACCGAGGAAUUGCUUGGUAAACCGCACGUCUUGAGACAGGUAGGGGCCAUCGGAACGAUAGGUGGAGUGGUGAAAUGCGUUGAUAUCUAUCGGAACGCCGAAGGAGAAAUCAGAUGGCUGGGCCUGUUCUGACGCUCAGGUACGAAAGCGUGGGGAGCGAACGGGAUUAGAUACCCCCGUAGUCC
rnacentral:rRNA from 1 species